rnacentral:rRNA from 1 species
UCGGUUCGGCCGGAGUCAACACAGGUGCUGCAUGGCUGUCGUCAGCUCGUGUCGUGAGAUGUUGGGUUAAGUCCCGCAACGAGCGCAACCCUCGUCUCCAGUUGCCAUCAGGUAAUGCUGGGCACUUUGGAGAAACUGCCGGUGACAAGCCGGAGGAAGGUGGGGAUGACGUCAAGUCCUCAUGGCCCUUACCGGGCUGGGCUACACACGUGCUACAAUGGCGGUGACAGUGGGAUGCGAAGGGGCGGACCCGGAGCCGAUCCUAAAAAGACCGUCUCAGUUCGGAUUGCACUCUGCAACUCGAGUGCAUGAAGGUGGAAUCGCUAGUAAUCGAGGAUCAGCAUGCCUCGGUGAAUACGUUCCCGGGCCUU